UCUUAAUAGCAUCGUUAUCAUUUAACAUAUCACAAUUUUUAAAGAAAAAUAAAAGACUCUAAGGUUGUUGCUAUACAUAUUUAAAAAGUGACAUUUUCAAGCAUUUAAUUUUCCUUUGACAUUUUUCGACGUAGAAUUGUGUGCAUCGAGAAAUGUCAAGAGAUAUCUUGAUGCUAUAUCUCAUGCGUCAGGAUAUUUUCUUUCGAUAUUUUUUUUCUAACUUCGAUCCUGACGCGAACUUAUUUGUCGGGGAAUUUUUUUCCGACACUUUUGUUAUUUCUCCCUAUGCUUUUUUCUGGUAGUGUUAGCAUUAUAUCUAAGGGUAAGCUUAGAGAUAUGAAUCUCUCCCUACUCUAAAUUGUUGUUGCGCUAAAUUAAAUAAAGAAAAAAAAGAUACAUAGAUACAUGCAUAUAUAUGGUAUAUAUAUGUAUGUGUGUGCAUGUUUCCUAUUUAUUCCAUUUUUUUUUGUAUUUUGUUUUAGUUUCCAACUUCCAUAUCAAAUUGCCAUUAGGUAGGGCUCUCAUUUGUUGUAAAUAAAUUAUCAAUAAAAUUCUUUCUUUCGAUCCAUCAUCUUCCAAUUUUCUCUUGAAGCUACUCCAAGCUCAAUGAAGAACUAAAGGAGAAAUAUAAAGCAGUAUAUGAGUGACAACAUAAUGGUGGAACCAAUAUUUGACCCUAAAAUAGAGAAAACCUUUUGUCAAAGAGUUAGAACCAAACGAAGAUGCGAAAGAGGCAUAGACCACAAAGAGUGCAAGCGAACUUCCUCUUGAAAAGAAUCUCGUAAGUUGCAAAUAGAUUUUUACUACGAAAUGCUAUUUAGAUGGAAGAGAAUAGAAAAAUUCAAAGUAAUUAAGACUUAUGGCUAAAAGCUUCACUCAAUCAUAGGUAUCGACUGCUAAAUUACCUUUAGUUGUAGAUCUUGACUGACCUCUUCAUCAACUUUAUGUGUCAAAAAUACAUUUUUGAAUGAUGAUCUCAAAGGAGAAGUUUAUAUGUAGAUUCCUCCUAAAAUGGAAAACGAGUCUAACAGGGAUUUGUUACGUAAGCUGAGAAAAUCUUUAUAUACAAAUUAAAAU